rnacentral:rRNA from 1 species
UACAGAGGUCUCAAGCGUUGUUCGGAUUCAUUGGGCGUAAAGGGUGCGUAGGCGGCGCGGUAAGUCGGGUGUGAAAUCUCGGAGCUUAACUCCGAAACUGCAUUCGAUACUGCCGUGCUUGAGGACUGGAGAGGAGACUGGAAUUUACGGUGUAGCGGUGAAAUGCGUAGAUAUCGUAAGGAAGACCAGUGGCGAAGGCGGGUCUCUGGACAGUUCCGUGACGCUGAGACACGAAGGUCAGGGGGGAGCAAACGGG